rnacentral:rRNA from 1 species
AUUGAACGCUGGCGGCAGGCUUAACACAUGCAAGUCGAGCGGGGUGAUGGUGCUUGCACUAUCACUUAGCGGCGGACGGGUGAGUAAUGCUUAGGAAUCUGCCUAUUAGUGGGGGACAACAUCUCGAAAGGGAUGCUAAUACCGCAUACGUCCUACGGGAGAAGGCAGGGGAUCACUUGUGACCUUGCGCUAAUAGAUGAGCCUAAGUCGGAUUAGCUAGUUGGUGGGGUAAAGGCCUACCAAGGCGACGAUCUGUAGCGGGUCUGCGAGGAUGGUCCGCCACACUGGGGCUGAAACACGGCCCAGACUCCAACGGGAGGCAGCAUUGGGGAAUAUUGGGCAAUGGGGGGAACCCUGAUCCAGCCAUGCCGCGUGUGUGAAGAAGGCCUUAUGGUUGUAAAGCACUUUAAGCGUGGAGGAGGCUCUUUUGGUUAAUACCCAAGAUGAGUGGACGUUACUCGCAGAAUAAGCACCGGCUAACUCUGUGCCAGCCGCCGCCGUAA